UGACUGAGGCACUGAACUGUGACUCAGAAAAACAAGAGACUAUAAAGAUUUCAGUUCUCAUCUGUUGCCCAAUUCUUGAGUGACUUCGAGAAGUCAUAAUGACCCUGUUGAAGUUCCUGUCUCUGAACUCAGAAAGUGCAGCAGAGAGCAUCUCCAGAAGUGUAAGACUGCAUGAUGCCAUGUAAAAGUACUGAUUCAGCCCUUGAACAGGGUUUUCUUUAAGGUCUCCUGCCCAAGUGCAACUCAUCUUAACAAGAGAGAACAAACCAGAGCACAGAAAAGUAGUGCGAGGCCCAUGGCUGCAGCAGAUCUAUACCAAGAGUAUCUCUGGAGGAGACAGGAAGAGCAAGAGCUCUGAGGAGGGUAAGCAUGAAGCUAUCAAAUGGAUCCCAAGAACGUGGUCAUUCUGAUACAACUAAUUCAGAUUCACUUAUCUUGUGAUAAAAAGCCUAGUUGGAAUAUACCAGCUGUAGAGAAGAAGAUAAAUAGUUCAGAUGUCUAUUUGGAACCACUGUCCACCAGUAUUUUGUGUGUAGAUGAACCAAAGAGGAAAUAACUGGGAAAACGUCUAAUGAAAACCCUGUGCGUCAGUGCUACACAGCACUAGUACAUAACGUGACAAAACUUCUGAGUUUUUUUUAUUCUUGUUUUAUAAGUUGAUUCAGGCCUAUAAGCAGAAGCAUUCUUCAUUGCAUUAAUAGUUUAUUCUAUUUUUAAUCAAUCACAUGAUGCUAUUCUAAUGUCAUUUAACCUAUAAUUGUCUUUUGUGCAGAAGCCCAAAUAUUUGUAUUGCUAGUAAGAACUCAUUAAGGUGGCAUUCUCAGAUUUUUUUUGUUCGUUUUUUUUUCUGAAUGCUGCCAAAUAACCAAGCUAUAAUGUAUUCAGAGAUUUGAAAAGCUGCAGUCUGAGUACUCUCUAUAACUAUAAAAGAGCUAUUCUAGGAACUGACUAACUAUCCAGUUAGUACAAUUGCUUUUUUCCAAUAACAACUGUUUCAGCCUGAUUCAAAGGCAAUAUACCUGGUGAUGUGUAAUAUCAUAGCCUAGAUGGAGGUUCCUGUCUGAGGACGACUGUGGUCAGAUUGCACCUUGAAGCAAUUAAAAUAUAUUAAGUACAUUAAAA